UACAGAGGUCUCAAGCGUUGUUCGGAUUCAUUGGGCGUAAAGGGUGCGUAGGCGGCGCGGUAAGUCGGGGUGUGAAAUCUCGGAGCUUAACUCCGAAACUGCAUUCGAUACUGCGGUGCUUUGAGGACUGGAGAGGAGACUGGAAUUCAUGGUGUAGCAGUGAAAUGCGUAGAGAUCAUGAGGAAGACCAGUGGCGAAGGCGGGUCUCUGGACAGUUCCUGACACUGAGGCACGAAGGCCAGGGGAGCAAACGGGG
rnacentral:rRNA from 1 species